CACCGCCCGUCACACCAUGGGAGUGGGUUGUACCAGAAGUAGAUAGCUUAACCUUUUGGAGGGCGUUUACCACGGUAUGAUUCAUGACUGGGGUGAAGUCGUAACAAGGUAACCGUAGGGGAACCUGCGGUUGGAUCACCUCCUUACCAAAGA
rnacentral:rRNA from 1 species